UGCUGGAGGUAUCAGAAGUGCGAAUGCUGACAUAAGUAACGAUAAAGCGGGUGAAAAGCCCGCUCGCCGGAAGACCAAGGGUUCCUGUCCAACGUUAAUCGGGGCAGGGUGAGUCGACCCCUAAGGCGAGGCCGAAAGGCGUAGUCGAUGGGAAACAGGUUAAUAUUCCUGUACUUGGUGUUACUGCGAAGGGGGGACGGAGAAGGCUAUGUCAGCCGGGCGACGGUUGUCCCGGUUUAAGCAUGUAGGCGGAGGUUCCAGGUAAAUCCGGUACCUUAUUAACGCUGAGGUGUGAUGACGAGGCACUACGGUGCUGAAGUGAUAAAUGCCCUGCUUCCAGGAAAAGCCUCUAAGCAUCAGGUAACACGAAAUCGUACCCCAAACCGACACAGGUGGUCAGGUAGAGAAUACCAAGGCGCUUGAGAGAACUCGGGUGAAGGAACUAGGCAAAAUGGUGCCGUAACUUCGGGAGAAGGCACGCUGAUAUGUAGGUGAAGUCCCUGCGGACGGAGCUGAAAUCAGUCGAAGAUACCAGCUGGCUGCAACUGUUUAUUAAAAACACAGCACUGUGCAAACACGAAAGUGGACGUAUACGGUGUGACGCCUGCCCGGUGCCGGAAGGUUAAUUGAUGGGGUUAGCGGCAACGCGAAGCUCUUGAUCGAAGCCCCGGUAAACGGCGGCCGUAACUAUAACGGUCCUAAGGUAGCGAAAUUCCUUGUCGGGUAAGUUCCGACCUGCACGAAUGGCGUAAUGAUGGCCAGGCUGUCUCCACCCGAGACUCAGUGAAAUUGAACUCGCUGUGAAGAUGCAGUGUACCCGCGGCAAGACGGAAAGACCCCGUGAACCUUUACUAUAGCUUGACACUGAACACUGGUCCUUGAUGUGUAGGAUAGGUGGGAGGCUUUGAAGCGUGGACGCCAGUCUGCGUGGAGCCAACCUUGAAAUACCACCCUUUAAUGGCUGGUGUUCUAACGUAGACCCGUAAUCCGGGUUGCGGACAGUGUCUGGUGGGUAGUUUGACUGGGGCGGUCUCCUCCCAAAGAGUAACGGAGGAGCACGAAGGUUGGCUAAUCCUGGUCGGACAUCAGGAGGUUAGUGCAAUGGCAUAAGCCAGCUUGACUGCGAGCGUGACGGCGCGAGCAGGUGCGAAAGCAGGUCAUAGUGAUCCGGUGGUUCUGAAUGGAAGGGCCAUCGCUCAACGGAUAAAAGGUACUCCGGGGAUAACAGGCUGAUACCGCCCAAGAGUUCAUAUCGACGGCGGUGUUUGGCACCUCGAUGUCGGCUCAUCACAUCCUGGGGCUGAAGUAGGUCCCAAGGGUAUGGCUGUUCGCCAUUUAAAGUGGUACGCGAGCUGGGUUUAGAACGUCGUGAGACAGUUCGGUCCCUAUCUGCCGUGGGCGCUGGAGAAUUGAGGGGGGCUGCUCCUAGUACGAGAGGACCGGAGUGGACGCAUCACUGGUGUUCGGGUUGUCAUGCCAAUGGCACUGCCCGGUAGCUAAAUGCGGAAGAGAUAAGUGCUGAAAGCAUCUAAGCACGAAACUUGCCCCGAGAUGAGUUCUCCCUGAGACUUUAAGUCUCCUGAAGGAACGUUGAAGACGACGACGUUGAUAGGUCGGGUGUGUAAGCGCAGCGAUGCGUUGAGCUAACCGAUACUAAUGAACCGUGAGGCUUAACCUUACAACGCCGAAGCUGUU
rnacentral:rRNA from 1 species